ensembl:lncRNA
UAGGAGUCGGACACGACUGAGCGACUUCACUUUCACUUUUCACUUUCAUGCAUUGGAGAAGGAAAUGGCAACCCACUCCAGUGUUCUUGCCUGGAGAGUCCCAGGGACGGGGGAGCCUGGUGGGCUGCCGUUUAUGGGGUCGCACAGAGUCGGACACAACUGAAGCGACUUAGCAGCAGCAAGACAUAACUAUUUAGCACAUUUAUCCCUUUGAGAAUAUGGUCAAAGCUUUGGUUCUUUAUGCAAAAAAUGCUCAUUCCACGAAUGCUCGAAUUUCUUAGAUCUUGUAAAUCUCAAUCAUAGAAGAGAUUCUAUGAACUCAGUUUAAGAAACCCUGUACAAGAUGAUCUCCAAGGUCCUUUCCAUACCUAAACAGUUCCUAUGAUUUUAUUUUAUAAUCCAGUGAAUGCUGUCUAAAAAAAUUUUUAGUAGAUAAACAAAUUGUGAUAUAUUCAUAAGUGGAUUACCAUUAGAACUAUGAGUAUGAUUAGAUUAUGAAAACAAAAGUGAAUGAAGUUCAACUGAGUAUAAUAUAUGAAUUUUACAAUAUAUGUGACUUAAACCAAUACCUUUUUAUUUACAGAUGUACUGUUUUCCUACUUUACAUAUUUUAAAUUGGAAUAUAAUUGCAUUACGGGCUUCCCAGGUGGCACUAGUGGCACUAGUGGUAAAGAAUCACAUCCGUUCUCUACGUCUGCAUCUCUAUUUCUGCCCUGCAAAUAGGUUCACAUGUACCAUUUUUCUGGAUUUCACAUAUAUAUGUUAUUAUAUGACACAAUAUUUUUUUUCUCUUUCUGACUUACUUUUCUUUCUGACUUACUCUGUAUGACAGACUCUAGGUCCAUCUCUACAAAUGACCCAAUAUACAUUUUCAUAAUAAAAUAUAAAAAUAUGGACUGGGAUGAUAUACACAACAUUCAUUAGGGGCUAGGAUGGAAUGGCUCAGAUGGUAAAGAAACUGCCUGUAAUACAGGGACCUGGCUUUGAUACCUGGGUCGGGAAGAUCCCCUGGAGAAGGGAAUGGCAACUCACUCCAGUAUUCUUGCCUGGAGAAUCCCAUGGACAGAAAAGCCUGGCGGGCUACAGUCCAUGGGGGUCCCAAAGAGUCAGACACAACUGAACAACUAACACUUUCCCUUUUUUUCACAUAGAGCAGGUCAGAAAUCACUAAAGAGGAUUUUAUAUGUUAUUUCAAAGUUUUAUAUCAAAAAAUUUUGAAGCAAAUGUGAAAAACCAUGUACAUUUUUGUUUCCAGUUUUAUUGAGAUAUAAUUACAAAAAAUUAUAUGGAUUUAAGGUGUGCAACCUGAUGUUUUAAUCAAACUAUUUACAUUAAAUUCCAGGUAGGGAUUACAUGAGUGUUUGUUACAUAAUUCUCUGACAUAUUCUACAUUCAUUUUUUCAUGGUUAAAAAUAACUCUUCCAGAACCAGUUAGUUUAAAACCAUGAAUUGUGAACAGUAUCCUAGAGAUAAUUCCUAAGGUACUAUGCUAAUGCUAAUAUCUUAAAUUUGUGCAACUUUUCAAAGUGCUUUUAAAUAUAUUAGCUCUUCUGACUCUCACAUAGACACCCUUAGAGCCAAUUAAUCUCAUUUUAUAGAACAUGUGAUCACAGAUUUAAGGAUUUUACAAAAUUAAAAAAGUUAGGGCUGGAUUUAGGACUAGAAUCGUGAUUUCCUGAUUCACAAUUCUUUCCCCUGAAACUCUCUGGCUUUUUCACUUUAUAGAAGACUACUUCCUCAGUUUCCUCAUAGUAAAGACAUUUUCAUCAUUUGAAGCCUUGUCCCCAUUUUCCUCAUGUUUGAAUUGCUUUCAAAUGGAGUUUUUCUUCUCACAAAAAGUGUUGGUUAAUAAACGGAACAUGACUUCAUUAUAAUCUAAAAUAUUGUGUUUAUAGAAUUUGGGCCAUUGAAAACUUUCCUGAAAAAGUUUCAGGAAUUUGAGAGAUCAUCUAGUCCAAAAGUAGUCUCAUUCCUACCUACCCUUUCAGUUUUAUAGGUUAAAUCAAUAAUGUCCUAAGAGAUAAAUGACAGCAAUGUCCUCAGUCAUCCCACUAAUUUGUAGAGAACUAGGUAUUAGAAACUAAAAGCCAGUUUCCUAAUCCAGUAACCUCCAUUUAUUCUCCACAUUAUUUCUUGUUUGUUAUUAUCUUCUCUUUUAUCAAAAUACAUGAGAAACCAAAAGUAUUUGGGACCCUCAUGAACUUGUUUUCUAUAUACUUAGCUGGCUGUGGUCAUAAUAUGCACUGAAGAUAAAUAUUCAUGUUAGAUAUAAAUUGCAUUAAUCAUGUGGAAUAAAAGCAUAAAAAGAAACUUGUUUCAUAGUGGGAAUACAACUAAAUUUUUUUGUUGCUGGUUUGAUGAGGAUUUUGUCAUUUUAUACUUUGUAAAGAUGUGAUGAGCAUCAGAGAUAUUGUUUCUUAUUCCCGCUGGUCCUUCUUGAACUUGCUUAUCAAGUUUAUUGCAAAAAUAAUGGGAAUUAUAAUUUAAUGCUGUGGUACUUUCUGGACUACUGGAUAACUAGACCAUUCUGGAAAAAUACUCACUAUGUCUGGGCAAUAUAGACCUUUCCAAGGAUGAAGUUUUGAAA